UACGUAGGGUGCGAGCGUUAAUCGGAAUUACUGGGCGUAAAGCGUGCGCAGGCGGUUUUGUAAGCCAGAUGUGAAACCCCCGGGCUUAACCUGGGAAUGGCAUUUGGGACUGCAAGGCUGGAGUGCGGCAGAGGAGACUGGAAUUCCUGGUGUAGCAGUGAAAUGCGUAGAUAUCAGGAGGAACACCGAGUGGCGAAGGCAGGUCUCUGGGCUGACACUGACGCUCAUGCACGAAAGCGUGGGGAGCAAACAGGAUUAGAC
rnacentral:rRNA from 1 species